rnacentral:rRNA from 1 species
AUGUUGCGGGCGGAGGUUUUAAGCCCCCGCAGCCGCGCCCGGAUCGGAUGGACACCGCCAUGCACCCCGCCGGGCAUUAUUUGUGGUAUGCCAGACUUCAAGAUGGGUGGAAAGAGGGGCGAUGAAUCUGCCCCUACUGAUGCUGGUGAUGAAGACGGCGAAGAUGAUGACGGGGAUGAGGAUGGUGACUUCGCGGAGGGCGAAGAGGAAAUCUCGGAAGGAGAGGAGUAUGACAACCCCAAGGCCAGUGACGCCAAGAAGAAACAAAUAGGCGAGGGUGAGGAGAAUGGCGAGGAUGAUGAGGAAGAACAAGAGGAGCAGGAGGGUGGAGGAGGUGACGACGAUGAUGAUGACGACGACAACGACGAUGACAAUGAGGACGACGACGAUGAUGACGAUGAUGUCGCUGCUGAAGACGAUGGAGAUGGAGUAGAAGAGGAGGAUGAUGACGAUGAUGAGGAGGAGGACGAUGAGGACUCGCUCCAGCCCCCGAAGAAGAGGAAGAAGUGA